GACAGAGGAGCCAAGCGUUGUCCGGAUUGACUGGGCGUAAAGGGUGCGUAGGCGGGUCUUUAAGUCAGGGGUGAAAUCCUGGAGCUCAACUCCAGAACUGCCUUUGAUACUGAAGAUCUUGAGUUCGGGAGAGGUGAGUGGAACUGCGAGUGUAGAGGUGAAAUUCGUAGAUAUUCGCAAGAACACCAGUGGCGAAGGCGGCUCACUGGCCCGGAACUGACGCUGAGGUGCGAAAGCGUGGGGAGCAAACAGG
rnacentral:rRNA from 1 species